GACGAACGCUGGCGGCGUGCUUAACACAUGCAAGUCGAACGAAGUGGCGAACGGGUGAGUAACGCGUAAUCAACCUGCCCUUCAGAGGGGGACAACAGGUGGAAACGACCGCUAAUACCGCAUACUGAAGGAGGGGACUUCGUCUGAUUAGCUAGUUGGAGGGGUAACGGCCCACCAAGGCGAUGCACCGUAGUCGGUCGGGAAGGGUGGACGAGCCAAUUGGGACUGUGAAACGGCGCAGAAUCCUACGGGAGGCAGCAAUGGGGGAUCUUCCGCAAUGGACGAAAGUCUGACGGAGCAACGCCGCGUGGGUGAUGACGGCCUUCGGGUUGUAAAGCUCUGUUAAUCGGGACGCGGUACCGGAAUAGAAAGCCACGGCUAACUACGUGCCAGCAGCCGCGGUAAUAC
rnacentral:rRNA from 1 species